rfam:Trichobilharzia regenti genome assembly, scaffold: TRE_scaffold0013498
AUCCAGCUGACGAGUCCCAAAUAGAACGAAACUCGCAUCCUGACUGGAU